UCCCUGAUAGCUCAGUUGGUAAAGAAUCAGCCUGCAAUGCCGGAAAACCGGGUUCAAUUCCUGGGUUGGGAA
rnacentral:tRNA from 1 species